rnacentral:rRNA from 1 species
UACGUAGGUGGCAAGCGUUAUCCGGAAUUAUUGGGCGUAAAGCGCGCGCAGGUGGUUCUUUAAGUCUGAUGUGAAAGCCCCCGGCUCAACCGGGGAGGGUCAUUGGAAACUGGGGAACUUGAGUGCAGAAGAGGAUAGUGGAAUUCCAAGUGUAGCGGUGAAAUGCGUAGAGAUUUGGAGGAACACCAGUGGCGAAGGCGAGUGUCUGGUCUGUAACUGACACUGAGGCGCGAAAGCGUGGGGGAGCAAACAGG